rnacentral:rRNA from 1 species
CCCUUAGAUGUUCUGGGCCGCACGCGCGCUACACUGACGAAUGCAACGAGCUUAUAACCUUGGCCGAAAGGUCUGGGUAAUCUCCAAAUUUCGUCGUGAUGGGGAUAGAUUAUUGCAAUUAUUAAUCUUCAACGAGGAAUGCCUAGUAAGCGCAAGUCAUCAGCUUGCGUUGAUUACGUCCCUGCCCUUUGUACACACCGCCCGUCGCUCCUACCGAUGGAAUGGUCCGGUGAAGCGUUCGGACCGUGGCCUUUGGACGGUUCGCCGUCUGUUGGCUGCGGGAAGUUCGUUAAACCUUAUCAUUUAGAGGAAGGAGAAGUCGUAACA